rnacentral:rRNA from 1 species
GUGCCAGCCGCCGCGGUAAUACGGAGGGUGCAAGCGUUAAUCGGAAUUACUGGGCGUAAAGCGUAUGCAGGCGGUCUGUCAAGUCAGAUGUGAAAUCCCCAAGCUUAACUUGGGAACUGCAUUUGAAACUGGCAGGCUAGAGUCUCGUAGAGGGGGGUAGAAUUCCAGGUGUAGCGGUGAAAUGCGUAGCGAUCUGGAGGAAUACCGGUGGCGAAGGCAGCCCCCUGGACGAAGACUGACGCUCGGGUACGAAAGCGUGGGGAGCAAACAGGAUUAGAAACCCGGGUAGUCC